rnacentral:rRNA from 1 species
GAUGAACGCUGGCGGCGUGCCUAAUACAUGCAAGUCGAGCGAACAGACGAGGAGCUUGCUCCUCUGACGUUAGCGGCGGACGGGUGAGUAACACGUGGAUAACCUACCUAUAAGACUGGGAUAACUUCGGGAAACCGGAGCUAAUACCGGAUAAUAUAUUGAACCGCAUGGUUCAAUAGUGAAAGACGGUUUUGCUGUCACUUAUAGAUGGAUCCGCGCCGCAUUAGCUAGUUGGUAAGGUAACGGCUUACCAAGGCGACGAUGCGUAGCCGACCUGAGCGGGUGAUCGGCCACACGGGAACUGAGACACGGUCCAGACUCCUACGGGAGGCAGCAGUAGGGAAUCUUCCGCAAUGGGCGAAAGCUUGACGGAGCAACGCCGCGUGAGUGAUGAAGGUCUUCGGAUCGUAAAACUCUGUUAUUAGGGAAGAACAAAUGUGUAAGUAACUAUGCACGUCUUGACGGUACCUAAUCAGAAAGCCACGGCUAACUACGUG